AGGAGGCCUUCUGAUAGCACUUUCGGCGACGAGCAUUCUUUUGGACUUUUUAGAAGCAAUUCUUAGGCGACGAGCAUGUUGAAUCUACAUAGAUUGUUUUCAGGGUCAUACACUCUUCCAAAAGGUCUGUUGGUUGAUACAGUCAUAUGUCAUUUUGCCAUUAAUAAUCAAAAUUGGUGUCUCAUUCUCAAACUUCUCUUUGUUCAAACACUUAAAGAAGCCUUUGAUGGCUUCUGUGACAACAUUUUGAAGAAAAGCUGCAUUUAAAAGAUCAGUGAUGAAGCCAUUGAAGAUGCCCUUGAGAAGGUUCAACACUACCUUUUGUUUUACUGAUACUAUAAAUUUAUAGAAUAAGGAACUCAGGUUUGACACAAAAGGUGUGGAACCGUGAGAAGAUUGUCAUCAUCCCCGGCCACUCAUCUUCACCAGCGACGAGCGGGCGAACCGAUAACUGGGGACUUCUGCAACGAGUGGAAGAUUAGGAAAAUUCACAAUACAGAGGUGUUUGCCAGAUUGUGCCCGCUCAAGAAGGCCCGCUGCUGACUAGACGAGGUUCUCCUUGGUACUGAUUUCCACACGUGCAAUGCUGGAGCUUUUGGUCAAUUUGCAACUGGAAUUGAAAAUACUAAUGCAGGUUUGAUAUUGGAACUGGAAAGGUUCUUCUCAAGCUAUGCAAACAAGUUUAAGUACUCCCAGAUAUAAUUGACAUAGUCUUAAAUGAUAAAGUAAAAAAGAUGUAUCUUUCUUUUAGAUGUUAUUGUCCAUCUUACUGCUACAGGACAAGCUAGCACAGAUUUCCUACUGUGUAUUAAUAUAAUUUAGUUAGCUUUAUGAUAGUUCAUUAGAAUAGCCAGUCUUGCAUUUUUGUGACUACUUACAGUAGUUUCUUUGGAUCGUCUUCUUGGCUGCACCAAGCCUUUUAAUAAGUUCUUAAAAAUUAAAAUCCCCAUUUUACAUGUCUUUUAUACAUGUCUAAAACGAAAACCAUGUGGCUUUUGUCACUGAGUGAAAUUGCUAUUUUUUUUCUUGAAAACGCAAUUUCAUUUCAUUGAAAAGAUAGAGUUUACAAUCCUCUGAGUAGUUCUGCCAUCAACCUGGGAUGUCCACUAAAUACAUGUAACUCUGUUGUAAAUUGCUAUUUUUGUACUGUCAUACUUUACAUAGUCUGUAUAUUUUCCUGUACACAUUAGCUUCCUGUCUAGCAAAAUGUCUUGGCAGCUAGGGUUCAGAGACUCACCACCUAUCUUAAUAACAGGGGUUCCUCCCCAUGUUAGUUUGUUUUUGGUCUUUCGAAAAAAAGAAGUCAGUCAUGAGCAAGUGCUUGAUAAAAGAUAGGUUGUCGUUCAGGUGUGUUUAUGUACUAUCAUACCUAUGGUCUGGUUUGGUUGUAAGAAGCAGCUCCGCAAUUAGUUAAUAUAAGCCGUUCCUCAAUAGGUUCUUAGUUCCUAGAAAAUUUGGCUUAACAAUUUUGCCGGCAAAUGAUACGUGUGAGUUGCAAAAAUAACACAUUCAUUUCUUAUUUAGUGUGUGAACUCAAGGGAGAUGACCAUAGAAAGAUAGAGCGGCUAUUUAUGAAUAUAAUUUGGCUGACUAAACUAAAAUUCAACUUGCUUUGUAGUUACUUUGGUUCCACAUAUAUUUACAUUUUAGCCUACUUUGUCCAGUGGCUCAAAGUAGACCCAUGUCCCUUUUUCCAAUAACUUUUUUUGUUAAUAGAGUGAGCUACAACAUUUAGUUUGUGCGUAGUUUUUAGUGAGCAGUGCUUUUGUUUACACAAUUAGUACUCUUUUCUAUAUGGCAUUUAAGUCUUUCCUUGGCCCUGCACCGCCUCACGUGGCAUUGUGUUCGGCCAUAUAUGUUCACCCGAGUUUUAAAUGAGGUACUAAGGGCAUGUACAAUGCGGCGCUUAGCACAUGCGCUAGGGAUAGUAAUCCUGGCCGUUUUGAUCAAAUCCCUGCCGAUCCCAGGAAUACAUCUUACAUCGGCUCUUACCCAUGCGCCUGGCACUCCGGCCU